UGGGGAAUAUUGCACAAUGGGCGCAAGCCUGAUGCAGCCAUGCCGCGUGUAUGAAGAAGGCCUUCGGGUUGUAAGGUACUUUCAGCGGGGAGGAAGGCGUUGUGGUUAAUAACCACAGCGAUUGACGUUACCCGCAUCGAAGAAGACAACCGGCUAACCGUCCGUAGCCAGCCAGCCGCGGGUAAUACGGAGGGUGCAAGCGUUAAUCGGAAUUACUGGGCGUAAAGCGCACGCAGGCGGUCUGUCAAGUCGGAUGUGAAAUCCCCGGGCUCAACCUGGGAACUGCAUUCGAAACUGGCAGGCUAGAGUCUUGUAGAGGGGGUAGAAUUCCAGGUGUAGCGGUGAAAUUGCGUAGAGAUCUGGAGGAAUACCGGUGGCGAAGGCGGCCCCCUGGACAAAGACUGACGCUCAGGUGCGAAAGCGUGGGAGCAAAACA
rnacentral:rRNA from 1 species